rnacentral:rRNA from 1 species
CUACUGGGGUUUCUAAUCCUGUUUGCUCCCCACGCUUUCGCACCUCAGCGUCAGUAAUGGACCAGUAAGCCGCCUUCGCCACUGGUGUUCCUGCGAAUAUCUACGAAUUUCACCUCUACACUCGCAAUUCCACUUACCUCUUCCAUACUCAAGACUUCCAGUAUCAAAGGCAGUUCCGGGGUUGAGCCCCGGGAUUUCACCCCUGACUUAAAAGUCCGCCUACGUGCGCUUUACGCCCAGUAAAUCCGAACAACGCUAGCCCCCUUCGUAUUACCGCGGCUGCUGGCAC